UGGUCAUUAGCAAGGCUUUUAGAAUGCUGUUUCUCAUUUGCUGUGGACAUGACAUAAAAAACUUCCCACUAGGUUUUCUAUCUGCUACUUUGCUAGCAAUCAGCCUAUUGGGAACAUUU
rnacentral:snoRNA from 1 species